rnacentral:rRNA from 1 species
AAUAUUGCGCAAUGGGGGGAACCCUGACGCAGCGACGUCGCGUGGGCGAAGAAGGUCUUCGGAUCGUAAAGCUCUGUCUUUGGGGACGAAAGAAAUGACGAUACCCAAUGAGGAAGCCCCGGCUAACUACGUGCCAGCAGCCGCGGUAACACGUAGGGGGCAAGCGUUGUCCGGAAUUACUGGGCGUAAAGGGUACGAAGGCGGCUAUAUAAGUCAGGUGUGAAAUACAAGUGCUUAACACUGGAAUUGCAUUUGAAACUGUGUAGCUUGAGUGCAGGAGAGGAAAGUGGAAUUCCUAGUGUAGCGGUGAAAUGCGUAGAGAUUAGGAGGAACACCAGUGGCGAAGGCGACUUUCUGGACUGUAACUGACGCUGAGGUACGAAAGCGUGGGUAGCGAACA